GUUGAUCCUGCGGGAGGUUGCUGCUAUUAGGAUUCGACUAAGCCAUGCAAGUCAGAGGGUCUCUUCGGAGGCACAGGCGAAAUGCUCAGUAACACGUCGAUAAUCUCCCCUUAGGUCUGGAAUAACCUCGGAAAACUGAGGCUAAAACCGGAUAUUAGAAAAAAAUUGGAAUAUUUUUUCUUAAAAAAGUAAUGCCUAAGGAUGAGUUGGCGGCUGAUUAGGUUGUUGGCGGGGUAACGGCCCACCAAGCCGAAGAUCAGUAGGGGCCUUGAGAGAGGGAGCCCCGAGAAGGGCACUGAGAUACUGGCCCUAGCCCUACGGGGUGCAGCAGGCGCGAAACCUUUACAAUGCACGCAAGUGUGAUAAGGGGAUCCUAAGUGCUUAUGUUCUACAUAGGCUUUUGCUGAGAGUAAAUAUCUCGGAGAAUAAGUAGUGGGCAAGACUGGUGCCAGCCGCCGCGGUAACACCAGCGCUACAAGUGGCAACCGUAUUUAUUGGGCCUAAAGCGUCCGUAGCCGGUUUGAUAAAUCCCUUGUGAAAUUGUUGGGCUUAACCUAACAACGUGCAGGGGAGACUGUUAGACUAGGAACCGGGAGGAGUCAGAAGUAUGUCAGGGGGAACGGUAAAAUGUAAUAAUCCCUGAUAGACUACCAGUGGCGAAGGCGUCUGACCAGAACGGAUUCGACGGUGAGGGACGAAAGCUAGGGGAGCAAUCCGGAUUAGAUACCCGAGUAGUCCUAGCUGUAAACUCUGCGAGCUAGGUGUUGCACAUUUUUUAUGAAUGUGCAGUGUCGAAGCGAAGGCGUUUAGCUCGCCGCCUGGGAAGUAUGGUCGCAAGGCUGAAACUUAAAGGAAUUGGCGGGGGAGCACCACAAGGGGUGCGGCGUGCGGUUUAAUCUAAUUCAACACAGAGAAUCUCACCAGAGGCGACGGCAGGAUGAAAGUCGAGCUGAAGACUCUACUUGACGAGCCGAGAGGUAGUGCAUGGCCGCCGUCAGCUCGUGCCGUAAGGUGUCCUGUUAAGUCAGGCAACGAGCGAGACCUGUACUUACAAUUGCUAACAGAUUCUUUAGAAUGACUGAGCACUUUGUAAGGACUGCCUUCGAAAGGAGGAGGAAGGUGCAGGCUACGGUAGGUCUGUAUGCUCCGAAUCUUCUGGGCUACACGCGCGCAACAAUGGUAGAGACAAUGGGUCACAACUCCGAAAGGAGAAGUUAAUCCUCGAAACUCUAUCCAAGUUCAGAUUGAGGAUUGUAACUCAUCCUCAUGACGAUGGAAUCCCUAGUAAUCGGAUGUUAUCAGCAUCCGGUGAAUAUGUCCCUGCUCCUUGCACACACCGCCCGUCAAACCACCCGAGUAGUGUUUAGGUGAGGCUGAAUCCUUGAUUUAGUCGAACCUAAGCUCAGCGAGGAGGGUUAAGUCGUCACAAGGUA
rnacentral:rRNA from 1 species